GACACUUUGGCCGAGUGGUUAAGGCGUGUGACUUGAAUAUGAAUACGAAAUGUAUUCGAGUCGAUAUCACAUACGUUCGCGUUCGCAGGUUCGAAUCCUGCAGGUGUCG
rnacentral:tRNA from 1 species